UGUGGGAGCGAGCUUGCUCGCGAUGAGGUCCGGUCAGUCAGCAUUGUAGGCAACUGAUACACCGCCAUCGCGAGCAAGCUCGCUCCCACA
rnacentral:misc_RNA from 1 species